rnacentral:rRNA from 1 species
UACGUAGGUGGCAAGCGUUGUCCGGAAUUAUUGGGCGUAAAGCGCGCGCAGGCGGUCUUUUAAGUCUGAUGUGAAAGCCCACGGCUCAACCGUGGAGGGUCAUUGGAAACUGGGGGACUUGAGUACAGAAGAGGAAAGCGGAAUUCCACGUGUAGCGGUGAAAUGCGUAGAGAUGUGGAGGAACACCAGUGGCGAAGGCGGCUUUCUGGUCUGUAACUGACGCUGAGGCGCGAAAGCGUGGGGAGCAAACAGG